CAUAAGCAUCAAGAACACUAAUUGUGUACCAACCGAUCUUCCGAGACACGGUGGUUUAGAAUGCGGGACAAUCGUUCAAAAGAUUCGGAAAUC
rnacentral:ncRNA from 1 species